rnacentral:rRNA from 1 species
AACGUAGGAGGCAAGCGUUGUCCGGAUUUACUGGGCGUAAAGAGCGCGUAGGCGGCUUUGUGUGUCAGGUGUGAAAUCUCCCGGCUUAACUGGGAGGGGUCACUUGAGACUACAGGGCUAGAGUGCAGUAGAGGGAGACAGAAUUCCCGGUGUAGUGGUGAAAUGCGUAGAUAUCGGGAGGAAUACCAGUGGCGAAGGCGGUCUCCUGGGCUGUUACUGACGCUGAGGUGCGAAAGCGUGGGGAG